rnacentral:misc_RNA from 1 species
CGACCUUCAGGUGGUCCCCGUCCUUCGAGUCGGGGCUCCCCUGGUGUUGGGGUUAUCUACAGCAGGGUUUCACCCCCCGUAGGCCCUUAAAGUCAGUGGCGGGCUCGCCGUAGCGUUCCAAGCGUAGUAGCUAUGUCUUUUCGCUUAGGGUCGCCGGCGGGUUGCUAGCCGUUAAACCCCCUAAUUUAUUACAAGG